AACGAACGCUGGCGGCAGGCCUAACACAUGCAAGUCGAGCGCGCCCUUCGGGGUGAGCGGCGGACGGGUGAGUAACGCGUGGGAACGUGCCCUUCUCUGCGGAAUAGCCUCGGGAAACUGAGAGUAAUACCGCAUACGCCCUUUGGGGGAAAGAUUUAUCGGAGAAGGAUCGGCCCGCGUUGGAUUAGGUAGUUGGUGGGGUAAUGGCCCACCAAGCCGACGAUCCAUAGCUGGUUUGAGAGGAUGAUCAGCCACACUGGGACUGAGACACGGCCCAGCCUCCUACGGGAGGCAGCGGUGGGGAAUCUUAGACAAUGGGGGCAACCCUGAUCUAGCCAUGCCGCGUGAGUGAUGAAGGCCUUAGGGUUGUAAAGCUCUUUCAGCUGGGAAGAUAAUGACGGUACCAGCAGAAGAAGCCCCGGCUAACUCCGUG
rnacentral:rRNA from 1 species